rnacentral:lncRNA from 1 species
UUUGGUGGUAGAUUCGGGCAUCAUCAAUGAAGGGGACUUAGGCAUGCACCACGCGAUGGAUGAUGAGGAGAUGGCCGAGAUUAGAUCAUUAGGAGAGCAGCACCAGAUUGAAUGGAAUGACACCCUGAAUUUAGUCACCUCAGCAUGGUGGUUUAAGUUCUUGAAGAACAUGGAAAUUGGGCCAUAGGUUAAAGCUGAAGAUGAUGUGUAUCAUCCAUUUGGUGAAGUCAUGGAAUUCCCAGCCUGGUUAAAUGCAAAUGACAGCUGCUUGCAACAAUUAGAUGACCAGUGCUCCAGUGACUACUUCCAAGAUCCUGCAUUACCAUGGUAACCAUUUUUUUCUUGGUCUUUAAUUUCACGUUUUUCAAAAUUAUAAAAGAAAUAUAGAGAUGUUUUAUGUUCCUAGGUUCUCUCUCUGUACAGUGUUGGAGGUGUUUAUUUUAUAUUUUAUUUUUAUUAUUAUUAUUUUCUCCCUGUCCAUAUUAAUAAGGGAUGUAGCUGGGGCAGUAGUGUUUUUACUAGCAUUUCACUCUGUGAAUUGCAGUACACCCACCAGACUGAAACUUUCACUAGGUAGGUAGUGCCCACAGGUCCCCACGGCAUGGUCAUGUUUUUAUUACAUUAUGCAACAAAUUUUGAAAAUUAGCUAGAAAAAUACAGUUUCAUGUGAGAAACUCUUGUGAACAUAUUUAUACGGUGUUAUGUAAAGGGCCAUAAUCUUGGCUCAUUGGAGUAGUACCCUAAGAUUCUCUAUCGAGUCUUUAGGCUUAAUUUGCUCAAUUUUGUGUCAUGUUUUUAAGCCAAAUUUAUGGGAAAUUUAUAUUGACCGACGCGAAGCAUCAAGCAUGUCGGCCCUCUGUUGAAAUUAAUAUAUUUUUGGAACAACUUUUUAAAUAGUUUUAAGUUAUUUUAUUUUAUUUUUCCUGAUCUCUAUACCAACAUGGAAGUAUCCAUACUCAAAGCACCUAAUUAAUCCUUUUGCAGAACUGUUUUGUCUUUGCCACCAAUUAGUAAAGGUGGGUGGAAGGAUUUCUUGAGUUUGUAUGAUAAGAAAUUUGGUACUAGCUUAUUGAUUUUCAAACUACUCUUCUUCAUGUCUUGUUGAAGCUUAAUGAUUCAGAAGGGGCCAAUAUUGCAUAUUCAAACUCAAUCAGCNNNNNNNNNNNNNNNNNNNNNNNNNNNNNNNNNNNNNNNNNNNNNNNNNNNNNNNNNNNNNNNNNNNNNNNNNNNNNNNNNNNNNNNNNNNNNNNNNNNNUGCUAUAUUAUAUUAACAACAUCUACAUUUGCUGAUGGUUUAUUUCUUACUUGAAAUGGUAUGUGGAAAUGCGUUCCUAAAAGAGUUUUGUCUGCUUUUAGUGGCUGAGUUGCUGCUGUAUGAAUUUCAUCUUUUUCUCUUUGUGCUGCUUGUUGCUGGGUACAUGCCCAAUGACACCCUUGCAGCAGAGUUUAAGGCAAUGCAAGCCCAGGCUGAAACUGUAAGCCCAUGUCAACAUGGCAAUUAGGCUGAAACUAAUUGAAUUUUAUUUUUGUUUUUUUAAUGGUGUUGUUUGGGUGACUUGAGUUUAAUUAUGUGAAAUUUUGUUGUUGAAGUGAAUUACUUUCAGCUUUCCUCCAAUUGCAAUGAUGUGUCCAAUUCUUUUCCAAUAGCAGCGAUGAAUAGGCUUGUGUCUUGACAAUUAAGUCUAUCAGUCUCUUGUCUGCUUGACUAUGAGCCCCAAUUGAUUGAGUAGUUUAGGAAUGUGCAGUAUAAACCACCUGUUUAAGGUGAUUGAGUAGCUUUAGCUUUGUGCUAGUAAUUUUCAUGUUUAGUUUGAUAUUUGUCCCAUUUUUGUGUAUAGUGUAUGCGUGAACCAUUCUGCACUAUCUGGUUUGUUUUUUUAUUUUUUAUUAUUUUUCUGUUUUUUGUUGUGAUACCGAAACAUUUAUUUAUGCAUCAGAAUUUCACCCUCUCUUUCACUUUCUACCGAGGAAAUUCCUUACAUGCCAAUAUCACAAGCUCCUUUGGUGGUAGAUUCGGGCAUCAUCAAUGAAGGGGACUUAGGCAUGCACCACGCGAUGGAUGAUGAGGAGAUGGCCGAGAUUAGAUCAUUAGGAGAGCAGCACCAGAUUGAAUGGAAUGACACCCUGAAUUUAGUCACCUCAGCAUGGUGGUUUAAGUUCUUGAAGAACAUGGAAAUUGGGCCAUAGGUUAAAGCUGAAGAUGAUGUGUAUCAUCCAUUUGGUGAAGUCAUGGAAUUCCCAGCCUGGUUAAAUGCAAAUGACAGCUGCUUGCAACAAUUAGAUGACCAGUGCUCCAGUGACUACUUCCAAGAUCCUGCAUUACCAUGGUAACCAUUUUUUUC